AAGGCGUGAGCUGAGUAUAGUGAGCAGGCUAUGAGAGGGCCCUUUCUGAGUGAUGGUGAGUGAAGCAAAGCAGAGAAAGAAAACUGAGUGAGUGGGAGUUGGAGUAGAGGAGAAGCUGAGGGAGAUCUUGCUGAUUCGUGAGAAGGAAAGUAGAGCUUGAAGCCAAGCAACUCUUUGCUUGAGUUGCUUUUUUGAGCAUUAAUUUGUGGAUUGGUGUGGACAUCAAAAGCCACUCGUUUGCUUUGCUGGAUCUGAGUGUUCACAUGCAUGUUCUGUCUUAUCUUUCUUAUUUUGGUUCUUUGAUUUAUUUUGUAAAUACCUGAUGCAUUAAUCCUUUCCUGAGCUUGAUAUGUAAAAUCAUGCUCUUGUUUUCUGUGGAUUCCACCUGCUCCCAGCUCUAUAUCAAUCUGUGAAAUAGAGCUAAGAUUCAUUGAUGUUU